GAGUGAACGCUGGCGGCGUGCUUAACACAUGCAAGUCGAACGAGAACGGAUUAUAGCUUGCUAUAAAUGUCAGCUAAGUGGCGCACGGGUGAGUAAUAUAUAGAUAACCUGCCCUCUAGAAAGGAAUAACAGUUGGAAACGACUGCUAAUGCCCUAUAUGCCUUUAAUACAUAAGUAUGCAAGGGAAACGCUUUAGUGCUACAGGAUGGGUCUGUAUGGUAUCAGCUUGUCGGUGAGGUAAUGGCUCACCAAGGCUAUGACGCCUAACUGGUUUGAGAGGAUGAUCAGUCACACUGGAACUGAUACACGGUCCAGACUCCUACGGGAGGCAGCAGUGGGGAAUAUUGCACAAUGGACGAAAGUCUGAUGCAGCGACGCCGCGUGGAGGAUGACACAUUUCGGUGCGUAAACUCCUUUUAUAUGGGAAGAUAAUGACGGUACCAUAUGAAUAAGCACCGGCUAACUCCGUGCCAGCAGCCGCGGUAAUACGGAGGGUGCAAGCGUUACUCGGAAUCACUGGGCGUAAAGAGCGUGUAGGCGGGUAUAUAAGUCAGAAGUGAAAUCCAAUAGCUUAACUAUUGAACUGCUUUUGAAACUGUGUACCUAGAAUGUGGGAG
rnacentral:rRNA from 1 species